GACGAACGCUGGCGGCGUGCUAAACACAUGCAAGUCGAACGAACCCGGAGCUUGCUCCGGUGGAUUAGUGGCGAACGGGUGAGUAACACGUGAGUAACCUGCCCUUGACUCUGGGAUAACUGCGGGAAACUGUAGCUAAUACCGGAUACGACCCUCGGCGGCAUCGCCAGGGGGUGGAAAGAAUUUCGGUCAAGGAUGGACUCGCGGCCUAUCAGCUAGUUGGUGAGGUAACGGCUCACCAAGGCGACGACGGGUAGCCGGCCUGAGAGGGUGAGCGGCCACACUGGGACUGAGACACGGCCCAGACGCCUACGGGAGGCAGCAGUGGGGAAUCUUGCACAAUGGGCGCAAGCCUGAUGCAGCAACGCCGCGGGAGGGAUGACGGCCUUCGGGUUGUAAACCUCUUUUAGUAGGGAAGAAGCGAAAGUGACGGUACCUGCAGAAAAAGCACCGGCUAACUACGUGCCAGCAGCCGCGGUAA
rnacentral:rRNA from 1 species